rnacentral:rRNA from 1 species
GACAGAGGGGGCAAGCGUUGCUCGGAAUCACUGGGCGUAAAGCGCGUGUAGGCGGCAUGACAAGUCGGAUGUGAAAGCCCUGGGCUCAACCCAGGAAGUGCAUUCGAUACUGCCGUGCUAGAGUCCCGGAGAGGGUGGUGGAACUCUCGGUGUAGAGGUGAAAUUCGUAGAUAUCGAGAAGAACACCGGUGGCGAAGGCGGCCACCUGGACGGUGACUGACGCUGAGACGCGAAAGCGUGGGGAGCAAACAGG